rnacentral:ncRNA from 2 species
CGAAUCAGCGAGGGGCGCCCUCUUUGUUCCCACUGCGUGCUCGUAAGAGGAGAAGCGGAUGGGACGAAUGGCUGAGACGUUUACCCUUAGCACCUGAUCCAGAUAAUGCUGGCGGAGGGACUGCUGUGUUCAACCUUC